rnacentral:lncRNA from 1 species
AUCAUCACAGCAAAUCACAGACGAGAGACGGUUUCAUAACAGCAUCAAAGCAAACCAAAAUCAACACCGAUCAAAACUCCGAAUCAAAGAAAGGUAAAAGAGGUAUAAAAACUUCUCUCUUUUUCAUAUAUAAGUUGAACUGUGUUGAUUUUGAAAACUUUAGACUUGAAAUCGAAAAAGAAGUAGAAGAAGAGUAGGAGUAGAGAAUAGAUCGACACAAGAGAACAAAAAAAAACUAAAGAAUUGAUUUCAGGGUUCCGGCGCGGUGGCGCCGCCGUACCGAUCGGCCAACCGCCGCCGGAACCCCAUCCCUUCCAUCGGAG